rnacentral:rRNA from 1 species
UACAGAGAGUGCGAACGUUGUUCGGAAUUACUGGGCUUAAAGCGCACGUAGGCGGCAUCGUAAGUGUCGGGUGAAAUCCCACGGCUCACCCGUGGAACUGCCCGGCAGACUGCGAUGCUCGAGUGUGGUAGGGGAGAACGGAACUCCUGGUGGAGCGGUGAAAUGCGUAGAUAUCGGGAGGAACACCUGUGGCGAAGGCGGCCCCCUGGUUGGAUACUGACGCUGAGACGCGAAAGCGUGGGGAGCAAACAGG